UGAUUAAUUAUUAAUGUGUUUUAGUAUCUGUUAUUGGAGGAGUAAUAGGAAUAAUACUGAUAAUAAUAAUAAUAGUAAUAAUAACACUUUUAAUAAUUACUGUUAUAAUACAAAGAAAGAAAAGAUACAGUAAAUUUGAUAAACAACCAUUGGAACUUCCACUAACAGCACUGACAAAUGAUAUUAUAAAAGAAGACAAUAAGUAUACUGAUUUAUCUGUUAUGGAUGAUAACAGUACCAAUAAAGAUACUUCAGUAACAGUUGAACCAGAAUAUGCUGCUGUUAAUAAGAAAGAGACAGAAGAGGUUCCAGUACAGCAGCAGUUGUCAUUAUAUGAACCAACAUACACUGAUAUUGAAGCACUCAAACUCUCCCCACAUCACAUUUAUAAUGAACCAUUCUUUGACCCAUUAAUACCAGCCACUCUACCAGUAUCAAUGGAAGAACUGGGCAAUCAUGUAGCUACUUGUCACAGUA